rnacentral:tRNA from 1 species
GACUGACCUUCGAUGGUUCGGAGUGCGGACUUCAAAUCCGUAGGGGCUUAGCGGCCCAGAGGUUCGAUUCCUCCUGACC